rnacentral:tRNA from 1 species
GGGGAUGUAGCUCAGCGGGAGAGCGCCUGCUUUGCAAGCAGGAGGUCGUGGGUUCAAGUCCCACCAUCUCCA